CCACAGUAAACCACCCCAAAACCAACUCAACUCACGUUUGAGUUCAGUCAUGGCUGCUAGCAUUUCUUAUUGAACCAAAUUUAAAACGAGGUCAAAUCAGGAAGUGCAGUUAUCCUUUAAAACUAACUAAUGCCAUGUUAUACAACUACCUUGCUUCCUUGCAGAUGAGCCAAGGAGGUGGACAGAUAAGAACAGCAGACAAGUGGAGCACUUAGAACAGCAGCCAGAGGCAACUGGUAGGGAAGAGGAUGAUUUACGUAACACAGACACAGGCCAAAAAUAAGUUAAGCUACCCAGUAUCCACCUGAACGUUUUGGAUUGCAAAACUAAAGAGUCACACCAGACAAGACAGAAACAGCAACAUAAGAAUAAAUGAUAGAGGCACCAGACAAGACAGAGAAAUAGCAACAGAAUAAUAUUAUAUGAUUGAGAGAGACAUAAGAAGAACAGAACAGGCUAUAACUGAAGAGGAUAGACAGUAACAAACAAGAACCCGAGACAGCCACAGACAAGACAGAAAAAGUGACAGAAGAGAUGGAGAGAGAACAGAGGACAACCCAGGGCAAUGAAACUGAUUCCAGAGGCCGACCCAAAACAACUUAGGAGGCACGCACACCAUCCACAGCUUUUUUGUAUUUUUUAUUAACCAGAGAUCUGUGAAACCCUGUAUGCAGAUGAAGAGGUCCCAAUGAAUGUCCCAAGAGAAUAAGAGUACAUCUUUUUAUACCAUGGGUUAUACACUGAGUGUACAAAACAUUAGGAACACAUUCGAAAGCAUUCAACAGGGAUACUGGCCCAUGUUGACUCCAAUACUUCCCACAGUUGUACGCCUGUCACCUACUACCACACUCUGUUCAAAGGCACUUAAAUCUUUUGUCUUGCCCAUUCACCCUCUGAAUGGCACACAUACAGUACACAAUCCAUGUCUCAAUUGUCUCAAGGUAUAAAAAUAAUUAUUUAACCUGUAUUCUCCCGUUCAUCUACACUGUUCGAAAUGCAUUUAAGUUACAUCAACAAGGUAUCAUAGCAUUCACCUGGAUUCACUUGGUCAGUCUAUGUCAUGGAAAGAGCAGUUGUUCCUAAUGUUUUGUACACUCUGUGUAUGUUAGCAAAUGUUGUCAACAGAAAUACAGUUUAAAAGUCACACACAAUGGAUAAACCUAUUACAACUGGAGCAGGCCAACCCUGCUGGGUGUGCAGGCUUCUGUUCCAGCCCAGCACUAACGCACCUCUAUUGCUGGGCUGGAAUAGAAGUCUGCUCACCAAGUAGACCAAGGAACAGUGGAGCGAGGACUUUUUUUUUGUUCACCUGAAAUUAUGCCUUAGUAGUUAUAGCCUACUUGUUACUAAGAUGGCUAACCUUUACAUAUGACUUAACUUACUUACUUGUUAAAGUGUCGAGUCUUUGAAGUGAAGUGUUUAAACUUCUUUUAAUUGUUAACUUGAAACAAUUAUUCAAGAUAAAUUAGUGUCAAUGUUGAUUAAUCACAGAUCACAAUCCUCUAAUCAAGAGGGAAAGUGAAUGUGUAUCUAAUUUGUCUGUGAUUCUGUGUUGUACUCUCGAAGGAACAUUACAGUUUUGUUCAGUUGUAAGCACUCCAAUUAGUUUUUGUUUGAUUGUCACUCUCUCUCUGCAUACUAUGGCGGCAACACCUACAGUAUGAUGGCAUUAGCUUUAUUAGCAUUUGCAAUGCACGACUUGACAUUGUGCAUCUGAAGCAGAGAAUAGCUUGACUCACACAUUGUUUGAUAUUGUAGAGCUAUACGUUCUCAAUUUAAAAAUGAUACCAGUAGACAAUAAUACUUAUUUUCCACCAUAAUUUGCAAAUAAAUUCAUGAAAAAUCCUACAAUGUGAUUUUCUGGAUUUAUUUUUCUCAUUUUGUCUGUCAUAGUUGAAGUGUACCUAUGAUGAAAAUUACAGGCCUCUCUCAUCUUUUUAAGUGGGAGAACUUGCACAAUUGGUGGCUGACUAAAUACUUUUUUUGCCCCACUGUAUAUUAAACCAGAUUUUGUACAUGCCUUGUGCUAGCAACAAAUUGUUUAGUGCAAAUCCAACCCUUGUUAUCUAGGUAGUGAAAUCUCUGCAAGCAGGAAAUGAUGGGAUCCUUAGCAUAAAACAUACACAUAACUAGUACUACCAAGUCUCCCAGGUCUGAAUGGCACUUGGAGGUGCCACUGUGAUAAUGAAGAUGGUUUGCCUAAGACUACCACAACAAUUACAUUGUCUAUGCUAAAUGUGUUUAAACUAGUAUAAAGAAAGAAUAGUUAGGCAAGUCGCUCUGGAUAAGAGCGUCUGCUAAAUGACUUAAAUGUAAAUGUAUUAGGAAUGCAUUUUAUUCAAUUGGAGAAGGCAAAGCAGGGAUGACUGUCACGCCCUGACCUCAGAAAGUAUUUUUACGUCUCUAUUUGGUUUGGUCAGGGUGUGAUUUGGGGUGGGCAUUCUAUGUUUUGUUUUCUAUGAUUUUCUGUUUCUAUGUUUU